UUCACUUGAUGUCUAGAGAAAAUCUCUAUGAAAUAGUGAAUUUUGCUGAUCUCCUGACUUGGCUCAGUUACUCUCAGCUCCCUGGAGUCCCAUCAUUUUGAGAAAGCUAGAACCCACUUGUAUGGGAACUUCAGAAUCACACCCUGAACCUCUGCUUGAUCACCUGAGGAAACCACUGUGUCAACUGCGGGAGCACAGGUGAAGGCAAUUCACCUGUGUGACUGGAAGGGGUUGAGCCUGGCUGCACCUCUCCUAGACCCCAUUUAGUGGCUGACUGCCACUGAGGAAGGAUCUCUUUCUGGAGAUUGUUCUCUUUGGAGUUUUCUUGUGAGCCCAGGGCAUAGGAGUAGGGCUGGAUCUGCAAGAAACCACAACAAAUUUGAGAAGUUAAUUAAUUAAUGUGGAGAAUGCCAGCACAGGCUAAAUCAUGUUGUAGUUACCUUCCAUGCCAGCUAUAAAUGGAUUACACAUCUCAUUGGAAAGCCUCCAGAAGAACAUCACUGCUUUUGAAGAAGCAGCCCUGCUCUGCAGAGAAAUCUCCCCAGGCCAGGCAACCUAAAAAUUUUGGUUGUCAUUGAGCGAGCCUGAAGUUGUGCACAUAUUUCAUUUCAGCAGCAGCCUGGGAAUGCUCCUGAGCCAAUUUAACUGUGCUAAGUCAUCAGCUGCUGGUGCUGAAGGCUGUUCUAUGACUCGGAAUUGAGAUUUGCAGUGGGUUCGUCAUUUACAUACAGACUUGUUGGAAAGGAUUGUCAUGCAGAUAUCUGUUCAGUGCACAGAGAUGUUCUAAUGGGUGCAAAGUGGUUUUGUGUCUGAAAUCUGGUGCUGUUAAUAAUUUAGGAGCACAUAAAAUGCCUACCUGGGGGUGGACAUUCCAGCUGCUGCAAGGGCCACCAUAAAACCUAGGCUGACCCAGAUGGCAGCUGGACAGGCUUGGCUCCAGAGAAGCUGGAUUUUGGCUGUUAGCAAUAAGUCAUCUUAGGGCUGUCAGAAAUCAGCCUUGAUUUACUUGCACAGAACACAGAUUAAUUGGACAGAAUAUAAAGGAAAUCAAUGGCUAAACCGUACAAAUGAAUUAUCAAACCAGGUAGACCUCCUGCCUGGCACAAAAGAUGCUGGAAACCACCCUGAAACCAGGCAGAUUUGCUUGCAGCCUCGUGCUCCUUCUGCUUUUCUGCAGCAGUGCAGCUGUUUGGAAUCUGCUGGUGAUUCACCUGUGUGUGACAAAAAGGAAGGUGAGGUGUGUUUUUGCAUUUUUCUGCCUCAUCAGCGUGCCAUCUCACAAGAGGCACGCACAGAGAGGGGUGGAAAAGCCAAUUUUCCUUUUCUCACCAUGGUUUAAAGAAAGUGCACAGAAACUAUUUUGGUGGAUCUGCAGUCUGUUAGAAGUGUCAUUAAACAGAUUUCCACUUACUCUAGCAGAGCUCUGGUGACUUACAUCAGUCAAGAAUCAGCUCAUCAUUUCCUUUAAAGCUACUCAUAUCAUUCUGUGGUUAGGAGCUCUCUAAGCAGCAUUUCAACUGAAUUUUUAAAGAGAAGAAACCCUCAAUGAACUUUCUGAUGCAAAUAUAAGUUUGAAGUGAUAUUUCACAGCAAUGAUGUAGUUAAUUUUCUUCUUCCAGAAUUUUCAGUGAGCUUCAGUGCUAUUUCACAUGUUAUAACCUGCUUAAUAAAAAAGGGAUGCUCCAUCUUCUUGGUCUCUGUAUCAAUAUUUGCUCUUUGUGUUACAUUUUACAAAAACCAUUUUCACAAACCUUUUUAUUUGAACUCAGCAUGUUAAACAUGGCUUUCAUGAACCUCCAAUGUACUAUCAAUAAUUUAACAAGCACAAGGCUUACAACUUAGCUAACAGUUAUCAUCUAUAAUAUAUACAUCUGCUUGCAUUUUCCCAGAAGCAAUGCAAUUUGACCUUUUGCUAUACAAAGGAGUAAGCUGUUUCUGCAUGAUGAGACUGUGGUUUUCCUCUUCGUUUUGCACUGCAAGCAUUGCAUAAUCUUGAAAUUAAAAAAAAAAAAAAAUUAAGUUGCAAAAUGUUUAUGCUGGAAGACAAACUACAAGCACUACCGUACUCUCUUGAACACUGUCGUUAUACUACAGUGUAAAAUUUCAUAUUAUAAAUGUUUUGGAGCCCUGUCACAGCGUAACACUGCACUCCUGAGGAUAAUUAUACCUCUGGGAGCAAUUCACUUUUUCCUCAAAAUGCAGCCAUUUCCCCAGAGAUGACAUGUUUUCAGAUGAGCCAAAGUGACUCGAGGGGUUUUAAUUACAUGUUUAGGGUGAUGCUGGGUGUCCACUGAAAUGAAUGAGAUUUAGUCUCCUAAAAGUCCAAGCUGUUUUUGAGAAUAGGCAUUACACAGCCAAGUCAUUUUGAUCUGGCAUCGCAGCUCUGUUAAAAAAAACUCUGCUGUUUUGUUGUGUGUCAGCAAGCCCAAGACCAUUCUCUGUCCUCUUCUCUUUUCAACUUCUUCAGUCACCAGCACUCUAAAAACAGAGGC